CUAUGCGCCUUGCCAGCCCGCUCAGGUGUGCCAGCAGCCGCGGUAAUACGGAGGAUGCGAGCGUUAUCCGGAUUUAUUGGGUUUAAAGGGUGCGUAGCGGGAUGCCAAGUCAGCGGUAAAAAUGCGGUGCUCAACGCCGUCGAGCCGUUGAAACUGGCGUUCUUGAGUGGGCGAGAAGUAUGCGGAAUGCGUGGUGUAGCGGUGAAAUGCAUAGAUAUCACGCAGAACUCCGAUUGCGAAGGCAGCAUACCGGCGCCCUACUGACGCUGAGGCACGAAAGCGUGGGUAUCGAACAGG
rnacentral:rRNA from 1 species